UACGAAGGGGGCUAGCGUUGCUCGGAAUCACUGGGCGUAAAGGGUGCGUAGGCGGGUCUUUAAGUCAGGGGUGAAAUCCUGGAGCUCAACUCCAGAACUGCCUUUGAUACUGAGGAUCUUGAGUUCGGAGAGGUGAGUGGAACUGCGAGUGUAGAGGUGAAAUUCGUAGAUAUUCGCAAGAACACCAGUGGCGAAGGCGGACUUACCUGGCC
rnacentral:rRNA from 1 species